AGUCAAGAGUACGUGAAACCGUUUAGGGGUAAACCUGAGAAACCCGAAAGAUUGAAGGAAGAAAUUCAUUCGCGUUUCGAUACAGGCAAUGAAGAAUUUAUAUGACGAUGUACAUUUUUAUAUGUAUGACGCAUUAAUUUUUCAUUUGAUCCGGUAACGAACGUGUGCACUUUUCUUCUGGUAGGACGUCGCAAUCCGUUGGGUGUCGAUCUACGAUUUUAUAGUGGAGAUCACUUGUGUCAUAUUUACGUAUGUUACAUAAGUGAACCUGUAUUAUCUGGUCGACGAAAAUUUUUAACACUCCGACGGUAGUCAAAUGGUUUGGGGCCGCUCUCUUUGGAGCGUUCGACUCGUAACAAGCGCGCUAGAUGUGUUGAAGUCCGGACCUAGUGCCGGUCCCAACCUCUAGUGACUGUUCGUUACGAUGUUCUCGAACAGACCUCAUUUAAUUGUGAAACCGAUUGGCGACGCUAUAGCUUUGGGUACUUUCAGGACCCGUCUUGAAACACGGACCAAGGAGUCUAGCAUGUACGCAAGUCAUUGGGAAUUAUUAAACCUAAAGGCAUAAUGAAAGUAAAGAUCUUUCUUGUAGAGAUCGAGGGAAGAAGAAUGAAUUAAGUUUUUUAUUAGACUGUCAUUCUGCAUUCCCGGGGCGUUUCAUUCUCAUUACGAGUUGAGGCGCACUAAGAGCGUACACGCUGGGACCCGAAAGAUGGUGAACUAUGCCUGGUCAGGAUGAAGUCAGGGGAAACCCUGAUGGAGGUCCGUAGCGAUUCUGACGUGCAAAUCGAUCGUCGGAACUGGGUAUAGNNNNNNNNNNNNNNNNNNNNNNNNNNNNNNNNNNNNNNNNGGGCGAAAGACUAAUCGAACCAUCUAGUAGCUGGUUCCCUCCGAAGUUUCCCUCAGGAUAGCUGGCGCUCAUUGUUUACGAGUCUCAUCCGGUAAAGCGAAUGAUUAGAGGCAUUGGGGUCGAAACGACCUCAACCUAUUCUCAAACUUUAAAUGGGUGAGAUCUCCGGCUUGCUUGAAAAAUCUUUUUAAGAAUGAAGCCGUGAGUAUCGGAUCAGAGUGCCAAGUGGGCCAUUUUUGGUAAGCAGAACUGGCGCU
rnacentral:rRNA from 1 species